rnacentral:rRNA from 1 species
GAUGAACGCUAGCGGGAGGCCUAACACAUGCAAGCCGAGCGGGAUUUGUUGGUUAGCUUGCUAACUAACAAUGAGAGCGGCGUACGGGUGCGUAGCACGUGUGCAACCUGCCUUUAUCUGGGGGAUAGCCUUUCGAAAGGAAGAUUAAUACCCCAUAACAUAUUGAUUGGCAUCAGUUAAUAUUGAAAGCUCCGGCGGAUAGAGAUGGGCACGCGUAAGAUUAGCUAGUUGGUGAGGUAACGGCUCACCAAGGCUGCGAUCUUUAGGGGGCCUGAGAGGGUGAUCCCCCACACUGGUACUGAGACACGGACCAGACUCCUACGGGAGGCAGCAGUGAGGAAUAUUGGACAAUGGGUGAGAGCCUGAUCCAGCCAUCCCGCGUGAAGGACUAAGGACCUAUGGUUUGUAAACUUCUUUUAUACAGGGAUAAACCUACUCUCGUGAGGGUAGCUGAAGGUACUGUAUGAAUAAGCGCCGGCUAACUCCGUG